rnacentral:rRNA from 2 species
AAUGACUCUCGGCAACGGAUAUCUCGGCUCUCGCAUCGAUGAAGAACGUAGCGAAAUGCGAUACUUGGUGUGAAUUGCAGAAUCCCGCGAACCAUCGAGUCUUUGAACGCAAGUUGCGCCCGAAGCCAUCAGGCCGAGGGCACGUCUGGCUGGGUGUCACGCAAC